AAUUAUGAGCCGAUCCAAAAGUCAAUUUAUGGACUUCGUUCUUGUGUGGUGUCGAUUAGGAAGAAAAAAAAAUAAAGCAUGACCGAUUGUGAGAGGAGUGUGAAUCAAGUAAGGGCAAAAAAAAAAAAAAAAAAAAAAAAAAAAAAAAAAAAAAACGAUAACUACUCCUCCCUUCGUUAUGUGCGUCGUCAGUUGAAGGCCAAGAAGAAAAGGAAAAAAAAAUCGAUCCAACCCUUUUAUCUGUGGGGUGCGUCGACUAGAAGAGGAAAGAAGAAGACGAGGGCAAGGGCAGUUUGCGAACGUCUGCAAGCGGGUCCUAAUCGGCUUUGUGGUUGGGUAUCGAUCACCAUAGCAGGGGCUGUGGCUACGAUUUUCUUGGUUCAAACCUGUGAAUUGAUCACUCAUCUUGGUGAAAAAUUGACAACUUCAAGAAGCGUCAAGGCUUGAAUUAAAAAGAAGAACUCGCUUCAAACAUAAGGUAGCUUAGGAGCAUAGCUUGGUGAGGUUUGGGUCCUUUUGGGUAGUUCCUUUUAAUAAAGAUGCCACCUUAACACGUUUGGUUUUUAUUUUCCUUUGAACUCCUUUUUGCAAUAAUUAAAUGGUUGAAUGAUGUUUAUGAAAAUGCUAACGUGUGGUUUUGAAAAUGUUUUGAAUUAUAAAGAAACUAAGUCUUCCACUAACGUAUUCUGUUAAAUAAAUGUUUUAAAAAGAAAAAAAAUUAUGGUGAAAAUCACGACGUUACAGAGGAACCCUUAAAUUGAUAGCUUCCAAGAACUUUUCUUUGGUCAGAACGGCAAGAAAAUCAUCAGCAAGAUUAGGAUGGACCUCUUGAAGAUUGUGAGAUGGUUGGAAAGUAGUGAAAGCACAUUUAAGCAGGGUUGGCAAUGGAACAACUUAUGUGAAGGAAUUGAAUGGUCCAAAUAGCAGAUGUUUUGAGAGAAAUUGAAUCAUUAGCCUGUAUGCAUCGUUGUAAGAGGGAUGAUCGGCAAAGACAACUCUUUAAUUGAGCGAGGCGAUGGACGGCGAUUGAUCUUUAAUGGUGGAUUCUGAGCCGAUGAGUUGAGCAGACCCAUAGGCUUUCAACUGUUUCUUAGAGAUGCUUGAUUUCACCAUGGUUGAAGGAAAAGAUUUUUUCAAAACUUGCAAGAAAACUGUUUGAGCAAGAAGGGGGAAGAAGAUGAAGAUCGUCUUUAGGAUUUCAGAAAGCAUAAAGCAAUCUUUGGAAGAAAAAAGGUUUUUAUAUGGCCGGAUUUCAAAGAGUAUUGUAAUUGUUUUAUAUACAACUGUUAAUGUAAAAAACCCUGGGUUUUUACCAUUAUCAUAUACAAAUAAAAUAAUCCCAAAAGAAAAAGAUAUGGCUGAAAAA